GGCAGCUGCUCCCUGACCUCCAUUAGCACUUGAGCUUUUGGAGCAUUGAGGGGGGUGUAGCUGUGGAAUCUUCCUAGGGGAGAGCUCCGUCGAACCUUGCGGUCCGAGCUCCUCUACCUACGAGCUCAGGAGGGAGUUCGAACAUGCUUGUGUCUGGGGGAGAGUUCGAAAACAUGAUCGAGCUUCACUCGCCCCUUUUUCAGCUGCAGGCUUGCUGGAAUCACCCGCCUGUCGCUCCUUCGCGGCCUCCUCAUCUUUCAUCUUAAAGACUUCCUCUG
rnacentral:lncRNA from 1 species